AUUAUACUCCCUCCGUCCAACAAAGGAUGUCUCAACUUUGAUUAAAUUUGAAUGCAUCUAUACACUAAGUCAUGUCUAGAUACAUCCAAAUUUUGACAAACGUGAGACAUCCUUUGUUGGACGGAGGGAGUACUUC
rfam:Brachypodium distachyon strain Bd21 chromosome 2, whole genome shotgun sequence.